rnacentral:rRNA from 1 species
UACGUAGGGGGCAAGCGUUAUCCGGAUUUACUGGGUGUAAAGGGAGCGUAGACGGAAUGGCAAGUCUGGUGUGAAAGGCAUGGGCUCAACCCGUGGACUGCAUUGGAAACUGCCAUUCUUGAGUGCCGGAGGGGUAAGCGGAAUUCCUAGUGUAGCGGUGAAAUGCGUAGAUAUUAGGAGGAACACCAGUGGCGAAGGCGGCUUACUGGACGGUAACUGACGUUGAGGCUCGAAAGCGUGGGGAGCAAACAGG